rnacentral:rRNA from 1 species
AACGAACGCUGGCGGCAGGCUUAACACAUGCAAGUCGAACGGGUGCAGCAAUGCAUCAGUGGCAGACGGGUGAGUAACACGUGGGAACCUUCCUAGGGGUACGGAACAACUCAGGGAAACUUGAGCUAAUACCGUAUACGCCCCCGGACUUGAUCCGGGGGAAAGAUUCAUCGCCCCUAGACGGGCCCGCGUCGGAUUAGGUAGUUGGUGGGGUAACGGCCUACCAAGCCUGCGAUCCGUAGCUGANCUGAGAGGAUGAUCAGCCACACUGGGACUGAGACACGGCCCAGACUCCUACGGGAGGCAGCAGGUGGGGAAUCUUGGACAAUGGGCGCAAGCCUGAUCCAGCCAUGCCGCGUGAGUGAAGAAGGCCUUAGGGUUGUAAAGCUCUUUUACCAGGGACGAUAAU